GCAGAGCUAAACCUGAACAAUAACCCAAUUCUCCUCAGGUUUCUAAUGAAUAACGACAAUGAUCUGGACAGUCAGUAACUGUAACUCUCUGUAUCAUAGCAUAGCCACCAGAAUAAACACUGCAAAUACUAGAAUCGUUUGCAUAUAAUUAUUAACUCUAGAGAGACUGUAGGGCAAGGGUCCCCACCCAAAAGGUAGAGCCCCAGAUGUUGUAGAACUUCAACUCCCAUG